AGAGUUUGAUCCUGGCUCAGGAUGAACGCUAGCUACAGGCUUAACACAUGCAAGUCGAGGGGCAGCAUUUCAUUUUGCUUGCAAAGUGAAGAUGGCGACCGGCGCACGGGUGAGUAACACGUAUCCAACCUGCCGAUAACUCGGGGAUAGCCUUUCGAAAGAAAGAUUAAUAUCCGAUAGCAUAUCAAUCCCGCAUGAGAUUGAUAUUAAAGAAUUUCGGUUAUCGAUGGGGAUGCGUUCCAUUAGUUUGUUGGCGGGGUAACGGCCCACCAAGACUACGAUGGAUAGGGGUUCUGAGAGGAAGGUCCCCCACAUUGGAACUGAGACACGGUCCAAACUCCUACGGGAGGCAGCAGUGAGGAAUAUUGGUCAAUGGACGUAAGUCUGAACCAGCCAAGUAGCGUGAAGGAUGACUGCCCUAUGGGUUGUAAACUUCUUUUAUAUGGGAAUAAAGUAUUCCACGUGUGGAAUUUUGUAUGUACCAUAUGAAUAAGGAUCGGCUAACUCCGUGCCAGCAGCCGCGGUAAUACGGAGGAUCCGAGCGUUAUCCGGAUUUAUUGGGUUUAAAGGGAGCGUAGGUGGAUUGUUAAGUCAGUUGUGAAAGUUUGCGGCUCAACCGUAAAAUUGCAGUUGAAACUGGCAGUCUUGAGUACAGUAGAGGUGGGCGGAAUUCGUGGUGUAGCGGUGAAAUGCUUAGAUAUCACGAAGAACUCCGAUUGCGAAGGCAGCUCACUAGACUGUCACUGACACUGAUGCUCGAAAGUGUGGGUAUCAAACAGGAUUAGAUACCCUGGUAGUCCACACAGUAAACGAUGAAUACUCGCUGUUUGCGAUAUACAGUAAGCGGCCAAGCGAAAGCAUUAAGUAUUCCACCUGGGGAGUACGCCGGCAACGGUGAAACUCAAAGGAAUUGACGGGGGCCC
rnacentral:rRNA from 1 species